UGGGCCCACGUUACCUACCUGCCCGCCCUAGCACCGCUCAGCUGUGUUUACACGUGUAUGUUGAUGCGGCCAGCUUGUCGACUUUUUUCCUCUGUAUAUGCCAACUGCUUAUCGCCUGUUGCCUGCGAGACACCCAAUCAGCAGCCAAUUAAACAGCUUGUACUAGCAUAAGUAAGUGCAGCGUCGUAAAAACGAUAGCCGGCAGUGUCGCGGCGUUACGGCGCAACGGACGGAUCGCUUAUCGUCGUGAUGAUGAUAAGAAGGAGUGGACCUAUAUUGAUUUAAUAGAAGUAUCGCCAGUGACAGCGUCUCGGCAGUCGAUGUUAACCGUUGAUUAGCCGUCUGUGUUUUUUCAACUGCAGAGCGUCUGCCGUGGACAACGGAAUGGUCAGGAGAAUAGGAAAUUGAAUAGGCAAUCAUAUUGCAACAAAUAACUGCACAACAGGCCUGACUGGACGACUUCUUCGAUACUGCUACUGCAGACGGUGUCGCAAGCUCUUUGCAAGAACUUCUAUAUGUUUUAGCCGUCAGAGACAGACCUUUGAUCGCAAAAGCUCAAUUACAAGUCUCGUAGUGUGCUGCCGUAUAUCUCCUUCGCGGUCGUUGUGCAUAGUGCGGAAAGGGCAACGGUAGGGCAACACAAGAGAACCACAGCAGCAGUAACGGCAAAGCUAUUCCACUUACACGCAAAUACAGCAGCGAUAGAAAAAGAGUAAAAAGAAAAGUUGUUUAUUACGUGUUCAAAGAGCAGUAACGACAGUCACCUACCAAGCCUGUUCUGAUUGUCAGUAGCUCAAUAUUGCCAGUAGCUGAACGACGAAUAGAACGAGCGAACAAAGUAAGCCAGCGUGUUCGUUUCUGCCGUUCGUCCGUAAUCCACGCAAACGCUGCCUUCGUAACAAUCACCGGCUGUUUUGCUGUUGCGCCUGUGAUCCAUUAUUAACAAGCAGCUGUCUGGUUCUGACUGACAAACGGAAACUCCACUCAGGCUCCCAGUUUCUUGGGACAAAUAUAUUUGUAGUUGACAUUGAAUUACACAGUAACUAAUUGUAGCAAGAUUUGAAUAUGGAGUUUCUCUACAUGAUCUUACUGCUAUUGAUUCCCGGAGGAAUAAUUGGAUUUGUAGCCCGCAAGUUACUCCGACAGUAUGAAGAGCGAGACCGGAGAGCAGAAGAAAAGCGACUCGCGCGUCAGCAAAAAAAA